AGUGAACGCUGGCGGUAGGCCUAACACAUGCAAGUCGAACGGCAGCACAGUAAGAGCUUGCUCUUACGGGUGGCGAGUGGCGGACGAGUGAGGAAUACAUCGGAAUCUACUUUUUCGUGGGGGAUAACGUAGGGAAACUUACGCUAAUACCGCAUACGACCUACGGGUGAAAGCAGGGGAUCUUCGGACCUUUCGCGAUUGAAUGAGCCGAUGUCGGAUUAGCUAGUUGGCGGGGUAAAGGCCCACCAAGGCGACGAUCCGUAGCUGGUCUGAGAGGAUGAUCAGCCACACUGGAACUGAGACACGGUCCAGACUCCUACGGGAGGCAGCAGUGGGGAAUAUUGGACAAUGGGCGCAAGCCUGAUCCAGCCAUACCGCGUGGGUGAAGAAGGCCUUCGGGUUGUAAAGCCCUUUUGUUGGGAAAGAAAAGCAGCAGGUUAAUACCCCGCUGCUCUGACGGUACCCAAAGAAUAAGCACCGGCUAACUUCGUG
rnacentral:rRNA from 1 species